rnacentral:rRNA from 1 species
CGAUGUGGGAAGGCCCAGACAGCCAGGAUGUUGGCUUAGAAGCAGCCAUCAUUUAAAGAAAGCGUAAUAGCUCACUGGUCGAGUCGGCCUGCGCGGAAGAUGUAACGGGGCUAAACCAUGCACCGAAGCUGCGGCAGCGACACUGUGUGUUGUUGGGUAGGGGAGCGUUCUGUAAGCCUGUGAAGGUGUGUCGUGAGGCAUGCUGGAGGUAUCAGAAGUGCGAAUGCUGACAUAAGUAACGAUAAAGCGGGUGAAAAGCCCGCUCGCCGGAAGACCAAGGGUUCCUGUCCAACGUUAAUCGGGGCAGGGUGAGUCGACCCCUAAGGCGAGGCCGAAAGGCGUAGUCGAUGGGAAACGGGUUAAUAUUCCCGUACUUGGUGUUACUGCGAAGGGGGGACGGAGAAGGCUAUGUUGGCCGGGCGACGGUUGUCCCGGUUUAAGCGUGUAGGUGUGUGUUCCAGGUAAAUCCGGUUCACUUUAACACUGAGGCGUGACGACGAGGCACUACGGUGCUGAAGCAACAAAUGCCCUGCUUCCAGGAAAAGCCUCUAAGCAUCAGGUAACAUCAAAUCGUACCCCAAACCGACACAGGUGGUCAGGUAGAGAAUACCAAGGCGCUUGAGAGAACUCGGGUGAAGGAACUAGGCAAAAUGGUGCCGUAACUUCGGGAGAAGGCACGCUGACACGUAGGUGAAGUGAUUUACUCAUGGAGCUGAAGUCAGUCGAAGAUACCAGCUGGCUGCAACUGUUUAUUAAAAACACAGCACUGUGCAAACACGAAAGUGGACGUAUACGGUGUGACGCCUGCCCGGUGCCGGAAGGUUAAUUGAUGGGGUCAGCGCAAGCGAAGCUCCUGAUCGAAGCCCCGGUAAACGGCGGCCGUAACUAUAACGGUCCUAAGGUAGCGAAAUUCCUUGUCGGGUAAGUUCCGACCUGCACGAAUGGCGUAAUGAUGGCCAGGCUGUCUCCACCCGAGACUCAGUGAAAUUGAACUCGCUGUGAAGAUGCAGUGUACCCGCGGCAAGACGGAAAGACCCCGUGAACCUUUACUAUAGCUUGACACUGAACAUUGAGCCUUGAUGUGUAGGAUAGGUGGGAGGCUUUGAAGUGUGGACGCCAGUCUGCAUGGAGCCGACCUUGAAAUACCACCCUUUAAUGUUUGAUGUUCUAACGUGGACCCGUUACCCGGGUUGCGGACAGUGUCUGGUGGGUAGUUUGACUGGGGCGGUCUCCUCC